GAACCUUUCAUGUAAGAAAAGUCUGAGUGGUAGCAUAAAUUAUUAUAAAUUAUUAUUUUAUGAGUGGUGCUAAAACUUCUUAUCAUUUGUUAUUGGUGAACCAAGAGACAGGGUUUGACAUUGUGCUAAGCUAUAGUCAUAUAUAAUUAUUUAUGCUCUCUUCUAGUAUGCUAGAAUAUUAUAAUUAAUACCUUGCUAUAUAUUAUGCCGC
rnacentral:lncRNA from 1 species